CGGGAUGGACGUACCGCUGGUGCAUCAGUUGUUCCGCCAGGAGCAUGGCUGAGUAGCUACGUACGGACGGGAUAAGCGCUGAAAGCAUCUAAGCGUGAAGCCCCCCUCGAGAUGAGAUUUCCCAAUUAGUAAGACCCCUUGAAGACGACGAGGUAGAUAGGUUGGAGGUGGAAGUGCAGCAAUGCAUGGAGCUGACCAAUACUAAUCGGUCGAGGGCUUAUCCUAAA
rnacentral:rRNA from 1 species